GGAUGUGACCACGUGGAAGCACCUCCUGUUGCUGAGCAAUGCUCCCCAUUGUCCUCUCCCAUGGCCCCAGCCAGCCCUGCCACCUGCGGGCCAUUCAAGCCGAGCUCUGCCGAUGCUCAGCCACUAGGGGGCAGCUUCGGUUCUUUGCUUUUGGAAGAUCAGCUUCCUAAUUGAAAGGACUCCUGCCUUCAUGCUCAACACUCCCAGGGGUUCCAGGUAGGAGUGCAGGACAGUCGCUGCGCUCCAGCAGGGGUGGGGCAGGGGCAGUGAGGUGGACGGGACCGGGCCCUGGCUCCCAUCCUCCUUGAUCUUGAAGUUUCAGUGACCUCCCCCAUGCCCUGGCCCUCAUUUGCACAUCCAUACAGUGACCUCCGUCAUUUGUGUGUUCCCUGAUCCAGAAUGAGGCACAACCAGGUCUAGAGGCUGGCAAAGGGCAGGUGGGCCCUGAACACGCUCCUGGCCCGCCAAGGGCAGCUCUGUCUUCCCAGGUCCCCUGCACCCUUGCCAGUCCUGGACACUGCAUCACCUGCCCACAACAAGGGUUUCUCCAGCCACUGCCCCUGGGUGUGGGGCCCCACAGAGAGACAAGGAGCUGGGGUCUUAGAAGAGGGCUGGCCUCCUCACCUCUGGGCCUCCCCACCUCUGGGCCUCCCUCACUCAUCUCUGGGGUUUUGGCUUUGUGCCUGGUCAGCGGGGUGGAGAGGCGGGGUCAGAGAACUGAGAGGCAGCCAACCAGGCUCAGUGGCACAUGCCUACAAAUCCCCGCAUGUUGGGAGGCUGAGGCAGGAGGAUCUCAAGGUUGGGGCCAGCCUCAACAACUUAGUGAGACCCUGUCUCAAAACAAAAUAAAAAGGAUUGAGAUGCACUCAGUGGUAGAGUGCUUGUCUACAAGUGCAAGGCCUUGGAAUCACCCUGGGGGAAAAAAAUAGAAAAGAGCUGGACACAGGUCCCAGACCUGACUUCCCACAGAUCAGGCUGUUCUCAGGCCCCACACCAGCAGCAGUAGGAAAAAAGCCUAGCAUAGGCAGGAGGGGGCCUGAGUGGCCACUGAGUGUAGAGAGAGCCCAGCACCAGGCCAUGGCGGGUGGGGGCAUCUGGCAGAGUCUCAGCUCCAGGGUGAACGUCAGGAGAGGAGCUGAUCCCGGGGGGUCCUGUUCCUGAGCUCAGAGGCUGUUUGUGCAGAAGCGUGUGUCCAGGUGCAGCAAAACCCUGGUGACACCCACCUGCUCUGGGCCUUGUGCUUCCUGGCCUGUGGGAUGGAAGUGAGUCACACCGACCUCAAAAGCGAGGCUGCCUAGUGAGAGUGCCCUGGGGACUCAAGUUCUGAGGACCGGAGUCAUCCUCUCCUUCUGCAGGGAGGUUCUGCUAAGGCACCCUGACCCCCGCCCGCUUUUGCGAUUCCUGUGUGUUCUGACCACUACCCUCCUCCCUGGCUUCUGACUCAGCCACCCUGACCUUGGGAUCCUGUCUGUGUCUGGGUCAAGAAUGGCAAGCCAGUUCCCCCCAGUCCCCAUGCCCACUAACUAAUCAUGGCUGUCCGCAGCUUUAGGUUGACUCAGUGGGGAAGUGAUGCAAUUGAUUGGUCAUGUCUGCCCAGGCCCAGGGAAGGGGAGCUGGGCUCGGCUGCUCUGUCCGUCUGUGGGCCUGAUGAUGGGCUGUCUGCUGGAGAUCUGACCUCACUGCCACCUCUCAGCCACCGCUGCCUGGUUCCCUCCCACUCAGGCAAGGGCUGUGUGGGGAAGCGGCUGGCCCUGGGAGCCAACCCUAGAAGCCUGGCUCGGACAUGGCUUGCCCUUGAACUAGUGAGUUUGAUGCCUGAGGGGGUCGUUCAAAAAGAAAAAGAA
rnacentral:lncRNA from 1 species